AGACACAAGUACAAUUUCCUCAGUCCUGAACACAGCAGAAUGAGAAUUAUGGACUGGCAGUGUUAAGGUGAUUGGUGUGACAGGGGUCAAACUGGGAAAACAUUGGGGAAUUCCUCAGUUUGUCUCUUUGCCAAACUCACCCAAACCUCUGCUAGGAAGAGAUGGACUGGAAAAGUUGAGGCAGAAAUGGAAUUGAAAACUGGGGCUCUUGACACUGUAAUUGCUGAAACUAAAUGUGUCCAAGCAGCAGCUCUUGUUGUGCAGGGAAUAACUCCUGUCAGCAGCAAGGCCCUGACUGAAGUGGCAGCUGCAGUUGUUCCUGUGGUGUGGGCCAGUGGAGCUGCAGGAGAGUGGAAGAGGGCAGAACCUGUAGGUAUUACCCCUGAUGUGGGAUCUCUAUGGGUAAGGCCAACCCAGUAUCCUUUAAAAUCAGAAUGCCAGACUGGAUUGGUUGCAGGAACAGCUAAAUUGGCUCCUCCUGGUUUGCUUGUAGGACGUGAAUGCAAGAACCUGCCAAGAAAACCAGUGGACAAGAUGAUUGAUUAGUGCAGGACCUGAGAGAAGCACCUUGAAUGACAACCUGGAGGAGUUUCCAGUAUUGGAUUUAAAAGAUGGCCUUUGCAUCUCCUUGAGCAAGGAAAGCCAAGAAAGCUUUGCUUUUGCAGGAGAAAAUGGGGCAAGCAGGCAGGAAGAAGAGAAGCCCCGUGACUCCUCCCUGAGCCCCAGACAGCCCAUGAACUGCCUUGCUGGCAAUGGUGGGACGGGCUGGACUCUGCAUUGCUCCCUCGGGAUGUGUGGCUCUCCCCUCAGGAACUGCAGGAACUCCUGGUGCCGCCUGGGCCGAUGGAUUGGACGCCCCAGCCCCUCCGUUCCUGCCCGGCCACUGGGGCCGUGUCCAGUGGUGGCACUGCCAGCCCUGCAGUGGGAUGGAGCCUGGAAAGUGCACAGAGCUGAACCCAGGGAUUGAAAGGGACCAAGCAAGGGAGGUGAAGAAAGAAGGAAGAAGGGAAGUGAGGCAGCAGGCAAGCAGCACCAAGUUGCUGUGUAAGCAGGUGAGUUGUGUUGAGGUUCCUCAGGCAGGCACUGAGGACUUGGAGGGCUCCAGACAGAGCAGACCUGGGAAGGCCCUCGGUGAAGCCCCUUGGAAACCUUCUAAGGGUAGGUGUGUAUGGUGAUAAGUGUUGGGAUUGUCCUGAAUGUGGAACAGGAAUGCAGGGAAGGAAAAUG